AGAGUUUGAUCAUGGCUCAGAUUGAACGCUGGCGGCAGGCCUAACACAUGCAAGUCGAGCGGUAGCACAGAGAGCUUGCUCUCGGGUGACGAGCGGCGGACGGGUGAGUAAUGUCUGGGAAACUGCCUGAUGGAGGGGGAUAACUACUGGAAACGGUAGCUAAUACCGCAUAACGUCGCAAGACCAAAGUGGGGGACCUUCGGGCCUCAUGCCAUCAGAUGUGCCCAGAUGGGAUUAGCUAGUAGGUGGGGUAACAGCUCACCUAGGCGACGAUCCCUAGCUGGUCUGAGAGGAUGACCAGCCACACUGGAACUGAGACACGGUCCAGACUCCUACGGGAGGCAGCAGUGGGGAAUAUUGCACAAUGGGCGCAAGCCUGAUGCAGCCAUGCCGCGUGUGUGAAGAAGGCCUUCGGGUUGUAAAGCACUUUCAGCGGGGAGGAAGGCGGUGAGGUUAAUAACCUCAUCGAUUGACGUUACCCGCAGAAGAAGCACCGGCUAACUCCGUGCCAGCAGCCGCGGUAAUACGGAGGGUGCAAGCGUUAAUCGGAAUUACUGGGCGUAAAGCGCACGCAGGCGGUCUGUCAAGUCGGAUGUGAAAUCCCCGGGCUCAACCUGGGAACUGCAUUCGAAACUGGCAGGCUAGAGUCUUGUAGAGGGGGGUAGAAUUCCAGGUGUAGCGGUGAAAUGCGUAGAGAUCUGGAGGAAUACCGGUGGCGAAGGCGGCCCCCUGGACAAAGACUGACGCUCAGGUGCGAAAGCGUGGGGAGCAAACAGGAUUAGAUACCCUGGUAGUCCACGCCGUAAACGAUGUCGAUUUGGAGGUUGUGCCCUUGAGGCGUGGCUUCCGGAGCUAACGCGUUAAAUCGACCGCCUGGGGAGUACGGCCGCAAGGUUAAAACUCAAAUGAAUUGACGGGGGCCCGCACAAGCGGUGGAGCAUGUGGUUUAAUUCGAUGCAACGCGAAGAACCUUACCUGGUCUUGACAUCCACAGAACUUUCCAGAGAUGGAUUGGUGCCUUCGGGAACUGUGAGACAGGUGCUGCAUGGCUGUCGUCAGCUCGUGUUGUGAAAUGUUGGGUUAAGUCCCGCAACGAGCGCAACCCUUAUCCUUUGUUGCCAGCGGUCAGGCCGGGAACUCAAAGGAGACUGCCAGUGAUAAACUGGAGGAAGGUGGGGAUGACGUCAAGUCAUCAUGGCCCUUACGACCAGGGCUACACACGUGCUACAAUGGCAUAUACAAAGAGAAGCGACCUCGCGAGAGCAAGCGGACCUCAUAAAGUAUGUCGUAGUCCGGAUUGGAGUCUGCAACUCGACUCCAUGAAGUCGGAAUCGCUAGUAAUCGUAGAUCAGAAUGCUACGGUGAAUACGUUCCCGGGCCUUGUACACACCGCCCGUCACACCAUGGGAGUGGGUUGCAAAAGAAGUAGGUAGCUUAACCUUCGGGAGGGCGCUUACCACUUUGUGAUUCAUGACUGGGGUGAAGUCGUAACAAGGUAACCGUAGGGGAACCUGCGGUUGGAUCACCU
rnacentral:rRNA from 1 species